rnacentral:rRNA from 1 species
CAAGGCUGGCGGCGUGGCUAAUGCAUGCAAGUCGAGCGGGGUGACCUUCGGGUCUCUUACGCGGCGGACGGGUGAGUAACACGUGGGCAACCUGCCCCGAGGUGGGGGAUAGCCGGUGGAAACACCGGGUAAUUCCGCAUGAGGUCGACUUCCGGAGGGGAGUUGAGGAAAGGCUCGCAAGAGUCGCCUUGGGAGGGGCCUGCGGCCGAUUAGCUAGACGGUGGGGUAACGGCCUACCGUGGCGAUGAUCGGUAGCUGGUCUGAGAGGACGGCCAGCCACACGGGGACUGAGACACGGCCCCGACUCCUACGGGAGGCAGCAGCAAGGAAUCUUCCGCAAUGGGCGAAAGCCUGACGGAGCAACGCCGCGUGUGGGAUGACGCCUUUCGGGGUGUAAACCACUUUUCUCAGGGAAGAAGCACUGACGGUACCUGAGGAAGAAGGACCGGCUAACUACGUGCCAGCAGCCGCGGUAAUACGUAGGGUCCGAGCGUUGUCCGGAGUUACUGGGCGUAAAGCGCGCGCAGGCGGCGGUGUAAGCAUGGCGUGAAAGCCCCUGGCUUAACCAGGGAGGGUCGUCGUGGACUGCACCGCUUGAGGGCGGUAGGGGCUGGUGGAAUGCCUGGUGUAGUGGUGAAAUGCGUAGAGAUCAGGCGGAACACCCGUGGCGAAGGCGGCCAGCUGGGCCGUCCCUGACGCUGAGGCGCGAAGGCGUGGGGAGCGAACGGGAUUAGAUACCCCGGUAGUCCACGCAGUAAACGAUGCAGACUAGGCGUGGGGGGAGUUGACCCCCUCCGUGCCGGAGCCAACGCGGGAAGUCUGCCGCCUGGGGAGUACGGCCGCAAGGCUAAAACUCAAAGGAAUUGACGGGGGCCC